GUGCUUGUAGUUCAAUGGCAGAAUAUCCGGCUGUGAACCGGAAGAACAGGGUUCGAUCCCCGCCAGCACC
rnacentral:tRNA from 1 species